rfam:Daucus carota subsp. sativus cultivar DH1 chromosome 2, whole genome shotgun sequence.
AUUGCAGUGAUGAGGCUGUUAACAUAUAAGUUGAACCAACUCUGUGUUGGUUCAUCCAUGAAAUACCUUUGUUACGCUUGGCUUCUGAGCUUU